rfam:Erinaceus europaeus unplaced genomic scaffold scaffold00907, whole genome shotgun sequence
CUACUUACCUGGCAGGGGAGAUACCAUGAUCACAAAGAUGUUUUUUUCCAGGGCCAGGCUUAUCCACUGCACUCCGGAUGUGCUGACCCCCCCCAGAUUUCCCCAAAUGUGGGAAACUAGACUGUAUAUUUUGUGGUAGUGGGGGACUUCAUUUGUGCUCUCACCUG